GCGGCCAGUACUGCAGCUAUGGGAGUGUGUCAUCUUCCGCAAUGUGACGUGUCCAUGUUAAUGCAGAGUGUCCCCUGUGGGACAGGGAAGAGGCUGAGCCCUGCAGAACUGCAGAAUGAGCUGUUUGCUCAUGAUACUUUAGGUCAAACAUUCUCCUCCCAGCAGUCAAGGCUGAUGAUUUCACGGAAACUGUGUAGAGAGCCACAGCUAACUCUCAGCUAGUGGACAUUCAAAGUAGGCCUACUGUAUAUUACACAGUGAAAAUUAUAGACUAACAUUAUUAGUGCUGUAUAUAAAAGAUAAACAGAAUAUAAAACAGUUUGCAUUUGUCCUUCCGUGCUGCUUCACCAUUAGUAUCUGAACAGACAGAAACUGAAAGGACAAGACAUCGCAGACUACACUGUUUACACAAUUUUAAAUUUGAGAUGUUCUUUGCUACUUGAGUGCAGGAGGAGGAGAUAAAAGAGCGGGCCAAGACCAGAAACGGAGACAGCAGGAGCCUGGGGAGUCAGAGCGAACAGGGACCUAUGUGGGAACAAUGGAUGUACAAUUAACGUGGGCCAGGCACGAGAGAGCAAGCGUUUGAUGUUCCUGUUGAGUGGCCUCCUUGCUGAGGUUCAGAAAAAGCAGCAGCAUUACCACCAUCUACAAAGUAGUGUGAAGCUACAGCCCCCAGCUGCCUCCACUUCAGAGGGAGAGGGCAUGUCAAAACAGCACAUGGCUCUGCCCUGCCAAAGUCACGCCUGCAAGUGGAGCACUCUCACGGGUCAUCUGGAGUGACAGAAAUGCUGCAGCCCUCUGUUCUGUUUUCUGAGGCCCGGGAGACAAGAUGGGUGUCAUUAGCUACAACUGUAGGAUGAUUCUUUCCAUUGAUCCUGACUCACCCUGUUGUGCUGGAAAUGUGAACCCAUUCCCAUCCCAGACGGAGAUCCAGGGUAGGAGCUGGGUGCCAGCUGUGUGGUGGCAGAAGUAGGGAAGACUAAGAUGUGUGUACAGGAAGCAUCCUGAGGCGUGUUCAGCUGCGAGGUCUGCAGGUUCAGAGCAGUGCUGCGUCCAAACACUGAGCCCAUGGUCACUGCAUCUGGACACACACAUACAGAAACACAGCACAGCACUGAGCUCCUGGAAGAAGGCCCGGGCUGCAGCCAGCAGAGAGGGGCUAUUAGGGCACAGUACCACAUAGGCCACAUCCCGCUGCCCCCCAUAAGGCUCCAGUAACAACUUCUCCCAGAAAGCAGUGUUACAGCAACAACAACCUCUCCUUGAAUGUGGAGAAGACAGAGGAGAUGGUAGUCGACUUCAGGAAAGAUUGCAGCGUGCACGCCCCACUGACCAUCAACGGCCCUGCUGUAGAAAAAGUCAGCAGUACUAAGUUCUUGGGGUGCACAUCGCUGAUGACCUGACCUGGUCAAUCAACACCACAGCCCUCACCAAAAAAGCCCAGCAGCGCCUCUACUUCCUGCAGAAACCUAAAAAAGCAAAUUCCCCCUCAUCCAUCAUGAACACUGAACCAUCGAAAGCAUCCUGACACACAGCAUCACCAUCUGGUACAGGAACUGAAGUCCCUGCAAAGAAUAAUGUGAGUGGAAGAGAAGAUCUCAGGUGUCUUCUCUCCCCUCAGUGGCAUCUACACAGGAAGGCCACUGAAAAACUGUCUGACCCCUACCACCACUCCCACCUCUUUGCACUCUUGCCAUCUGGAAGGAGGCUCCAGAGCAUCCGUGCAAGGUCCAUGAGACUAUGUAAUAGCUUUUAUCCACAAGCCAUGAGGACUAUGAACUCCCUGAAAAUGCUGCCCCCCAUCCCCGCCCCCAACACCAUGUGACCAUGUGACAUGCACAUAACAUGCACCAGCACUCUAGGUGUCCACUUAACUUAAUGCUUCUCUCUUUUCAUGAUUUUUUAAUGUUUUUAUGCCACACUUGUAUUGUGUCCUGUGUAUUAUGUGUCUUUUGUUGUUUUUAAAUGUGAAAUGCACCCUGAUUUCUAUUGUUAUAAUAUAUUGUAUUUCACUUCCAUGUAUGUUGAAGUGUAUAUUAUGGUAGUGACAAAUAAAUCUAGUUCUGAUUUUGAUUCUAAUAAGAAAUUUUUAAGAAAAUAAUAUACAAACAUGUAGAAUGUUGUUUUACAAAAGUUGCGAUUUACUAUGAGUAUUUCAUAUAUGUUAUAAAUUAUCUUAAAAU